rnacentral:lncRNA from 10 species
AGGUUUCAAAAUUCACAGGUCCAAAUUUUCCCAGGAGCUCAGAUCCAGGGUGCUGUGGGCUUCUGCUCCCUCCAGCAGUCUCUGCUGGAAGGAAGUUUCUCUCCAGCUAUGACAGGGACUCCAGCAACUAGGUGGUAGAGGGAGGGCCACUUACUUCCAUGUCUGUCUAGGAACCACUGAGCCUUUUUCAUUACACAUGAUACUAAUGCAAUUUCUUGAGGCUCUCAUAUACAUUAUUGGAUUCAGUCCUCAACACAAUCCUAUAAAAUAGAAUUAAUUUUUCCCCAUUUUACUGCUGAAGAAACUGAGGUUGAGAAAGGUGAAGUAAAUUGUAGAGCUAACAGUGACAGUGAUCUAAUUAAAACCUAGGUUGUACUCCAUAGUCUGAGCUCUUACCUGUGGAAAUGUAUCUGGGGGGACAGGGAGGAUCCUAGCACAAACUUCAUCUGAGUGCCAGUCCAACCACUUCCCCCUGGAGUCUUGACCCAAAGGGCUUGAACAAUUCCUUGUGGUAAAGCUCAGGGCCUUCCAUUUCCCCUUUUUAUCGGAUGCAUCAACUGACUUCUAAGUCUUUGUUAUAUGGUAUUAUUAUCAGGCCCUUUGUUAUGUAGUUUAAUUGUUUCUGUGUUACUGUUUAAUACAUGGAAGCUCAGAGAUUUUACAAAAUAAAGGAGGCAGGGUAUUGAGGUACAGAUUAUACAAUUUUUGUUAGCAAUGAAAGUUUAGAGUUGGUAAACAAUCAGCUAUCUCAGUAAAUUAUCCUUGAUCAUUUCAUUCGUUGUAGUUUGUAGUUUGACUUACAUUUAAUGUGUAAAUGUUUUCUUGUCA